rnacentral:rRNA from 1 species
AUUGAACGCUGGCGGCAGGCCUAACACAUGCAAGUCGAGCGAGCGGCGGACGGGUGAGUAAUGUAUGGGGACUGCCCGUUAGGGGGGGAUAACUACUGGAAAAGGUGUAUAAUACCGCGUACUGUAGGAUAACCCAUAUGGGAUUAGCUAGUGGGUAAGGUAAUGGCUUACCUAGGCGACGAUCCCUAGCUGGUCUGAGAGGAUGAUCAGCCACACUGGGACUGAGACACGGCCCAGACUCCUACGGAGGCAGCAGUGGGGAAUAUUGCACAAUGGGCGAAAGCCUGAUACAGCCAUGCCGCGUGUAUGAAGAAGGCCUUAGGGUUGUAAAGUACUUUCAGUCGGGAGGCGUUACCGACAGAAGAAGCACCGGCUAACUCCGUGCCAGCAGCCGCGGUAAUUC